AGGGGAGUAGCUCAACUGGCAGAGCAUUGGGGCUUCAAUCCCAAAGGUGCAGGGUUCAAGUCCUGCCUCCCCUG
rnacentral:tRNA from 1 species